rnacentral:miRNA from 10 species
ACACUUGUAGAUUUGACUCAAACCU